rnacentral:rRNA from 1 species
CUCAGGAUGAACGCUAGCUACAGGCUUAACACAUGCAAGUCGAGGGGAAACGAUAGAGAAAGCUUGCUUUUUCUAGGCGUCGACCGGCGCACGGGUGAGUAACGCGUAUCCAACCUGCCCAUCACUUGGGGAUAACCUUGCGAAAGUAAGACUAAUACCCAAUGACGUCUCUAGAAGACAUCUGAAAGAGAUUAAAGAUUUAUCGGUGAUGGAUGGGGAUGCGUCUGAUUAGCUUGUUGGCGGGGUAACGGCCCACCAAGGCGACGAUCAGUAGGGGUUCUGAGAGGAAGGUCCCCCACAUUGGAACUGAGACACGGUCCAAACUCCUACGGGAGGCAGCAGUGAGGAAUAUUGGUCAAUGGACGAGAGUCUGAACCAGCCAAGUAGCGUGCAGGAUGACGGCCCUAUGGGUUGUAAACUGCUUUAUAAGGGAAUAAAGUGAGUCUCGUGAGACUUUUGCAUGUACCUUAUGAAUAAGGACCGGCUAAUUCCGUG